rnacentral:lncRNA from 1 species
GGUAAAACAAAAAUCUGAACUGGCUUGCAGGACCUUGGAAUAAAAUUAUGGAUGCGGGAGCGCUUUCGGGCUGGACUGCCCCUCAUCGGCUGCAUGGAGAGGGUGAGGUUUGACAAAGAGUUUUGGCGGAACAUCUGUGAAAGCAGGUGUGGGUGGUGGUUUGGACCCCCAGUGUCGGGAAUGGUGAGGACAGGCAUGUUGUGUGUGUUGGGCGGAUGGGAUGGGCGAUGGACGGGGGGGGGGCGAAAAUGGGCCGAUGACAGGAACGAGGGUUUAUGUAUACACACUUGGAUAUUAUGGUUGUGUUGAUUAGUCAAGUGCUCCCAAGCACUAGG